rnacentral:rRNA from 1 species
AUGAGCACCCUGUUGAACAUCGCAAAGUUGGAAAGGGCUUUCCUAUGGGCGGGCACCAAUAAGACAACUGGGGCCAAGUGUAAGGUUAAUUGGAGCUCCGUCUGUUGGCCGAUGGAUCUCGGUGGGCUUGGCGUCCUGGACUUGGCAAAGUUUUCGAGAGCACUUCGGCUGCGGUGGCUGUGGUUCGAGUGGACCGAGCCAUCCAAGCCGUGGAUUGGAUUGGAUAACCCCUGUGACGAGCUUGACCGAGAUCUCUUCUACGCCUCUACACGCAUCACCAUUGGCAACGGGGCUUGUGUGCCAUUUUGGGACUCACCUUGGGUGAAUGGUGAGAAGCCCUCCAACAUAGCUCCUCUCAUCUUUGAGGCUUCCACCAGAAAGAAUUGGAAGGUCCGGGAGGCCAUGCAUGCGGAUGCAUGGUUGUCCAAAAUCAAGCUGCCCAUCAACUGGACGAUGGACCAUAUCCGGCAGCUAGUUACUCUCUGGGCUUGGCUGAGGGCCAUCACCCUUGUGCCGUACGCGGUUGACUCCAUCUCUUGGAAACACACCAGCAGCAGAAUCUACUCCGCCACCUCCGCGUACAAUACGCAGCUGCUUGGGACUGUCAGAUCGCCCUUGGGCGCCGCCGUUUGGAAAGUCUGCCCCCUCCCCCCCCCCAUAUGA